rfam:Mycobacterium rhodesiae JS60 ctg137, whole genome shotgun sequence.
AGCACAACGGGAUCGACGCCGCGAGUAACCACCAGAUAGUCGCGCAGGGCGAUGCUGUGGCGGCCUUC